ACUCAACUCAACUCAAACUGAAAGCAUGCAGACAUGGUGGGAAGGUUUACUUGUAGUUUCACCGAACAUUAGAAUGGACAAGAGCAACAUCUAAGCAACUUUGACCAUGCCUGCAGAGUCCCCAGAUCUCAAUCUAAUGGAGCACCUUUGGGAUGAGUGGGAACAGCAAGUUUUCAACAAGAAUGUGUGGCCCGAAAAUCUGCUGGAACUGUGAUGCUAUCGAGUCAGCAUGGCCAAAAAUCCCUAAGCAAUCUUUCCAGUACCUCACUUAAUGCAUGCUAUGAACAAUUCAAGCUGUUCUGAAGGCAAAGCGUGUCCUAACCAGCACUAGAUGGGUGUGCCCAAUAAUGGUGAAUUAGUGUAUAUUCUAUGCAUAGGAGUCUUACUAAGUCAAUAUUUUGAAACAUUUUAAUAUGUAUGCUACUGCCAUAUUCUUGAAUCCUAUCAAUCCCAGUACCCCUAGUUAAUGAUCAAUAUAUUUAAUGGCAAGAUAUGUAUAUAGAGGUUGUUUUUGUAUUUGCCUAGAGAGAUACACAAGUUUAGAUGCCACUGAUACAAGCUGGAGUUGGGGGACAUUUGAUAUGGGAAGUUUCAUGGUGAUGGUAUUAGUUUCAGAUUUUUAACUUCUUUGAUUAAACCAAACAUCUAUAUGCACAUGACCUUUUUGAUUUCAACUCAUUUUAUUUUACACAGAAACAUUUUAUUGAAGCAGGCAUAAUGCAUUUCUUAUUGGGAUGGUACUAACAGGACACCCUUAGCUCUUGCAUUAUCUUUGUUUUGUGAUUCAGGACUAGCUGUAAGGACCUAAUGUCAGGUGAAAUUAAUUCCAAAAUAAUCUUUCCAUCUAUAUUUUGUUCCCUAAAACAUGUUGGCAUACAUAUCUGUCCAAAUCAGUAAGUAGGCCGCUAUCGUAAGGAUAGCUAGCUAUAUAGACGGUUGUUUCCGAGCUAGCUAGCUAGCUAGCCAUCAAGCAUAUGUAUACAAAUGAUCAAAGCUAGAGGUAACUAGCUAGCUGCCAGGUAUCCAUCACAACAGUGAUGCAUAAUUAGUAUAUAGUCCUCUUUCUUUCAUACAGAAGAGUUAAUUGCCCUUGUUCACAUGAAGCUUGUAAUCGAGUCAAGCAUAGGUGGUUGGCUAACUAAAUGAAAAAGUAAUCUUGCUGUGCUACGUCAUUAAAUAAGUUACAAAAUAUAAUCAUUCGGCUUUUUAUAUUAAUCAUGUGCUGUUUAUAUUUUUAAGAGUUUUUCCUAGGUCAAGGUAUACAACAAAUUAAAACCUUGUCUGAUACUUUCA